GUCCCCAGUAACAUGCAGAACUAAAGAAGAAACUGAAGGAGCACCGAUUUUGUUCACCUUGCUUUUUGGUUUAGUUCUGGAGGAGAACACAGGUGCACUUAGAACAGGAUCCACACUUACCAGAGGCUUGAUUCAUUUUAGCUGCAAAGAAAACCAGUCCUCGUCUACCUUUUUCGCGUGUUGGAGAACUAACUAGCAAGGCAGGGAAUGCGGUUCGUGGGCGCUUGGCCUCCUCAAGCGGCUCAGGCUCUCAGAGCGCGAGGCCCAGGGGCUCUGGAGCCGCGGC
rnacentral:lncRNA from 1 species